rnacentral:rRNA from 1 species
CCUACGGGAGGCAGCAGUGAGGAAUAUUGGUCAAUGGACGAGAGUCUGAACCAGCCAAGUAGCGUGAAGGAUGACUGCCCUAUGGGUUGUAAACUUCUUUUAUCUGGGAAUAAAAUGUUCCACGUGUGGGAUUUUGUAUGUACCAUCUGAAUAAGGCUCGGCUAACUCCGUGCCAGCAGCCGCGGUAAUACGGAGGAUCCGAGCGUUAUCCGGAUUUAUUGGGUUUAAAGGGAGCGUAGGUGGAUUGUUAAGUCAGUUGUGAAAGUUUGGGGCUCAACCGUAAAAUUGCAGUUGAAACUGGCAGUCUUGAGUACAGUAGAGGUAGGCGGAAUUCGUGGUGUAGCGGUGAAAUGCUUAGAUAUCACGAAGAACUCCGAUUGCGAAGGCAGCUUACUGGCCUGCAACUGACACUGAGGCUCGAAAGUGUGGGUAUCAAACAGGAUUAGAUACCCGAGUAGUC